CCUACGGGUGGCAGCAGUGAGGAAUAUUGGUCAAUGGGCGGGAGCCUGAACCAGCCAAGUCGCGUGAGGGACGACGGUCCUAUGGAUUGUAAACCUCUUUUGUCGGGGAACAAAGGCGCCCACGGGUGGGCGGAUGAGUGUACCCGAAGAAAAAGCAUCGGCUAACUCCGUGCCAGCAGCCGCGGUAAUACGGAGGAUGCGAGCGUUAUCCGGAUUUAUUGGGUUUAAAGGGUGCGUAGGCGGACAGUCAAGUCAGCGGUAAAAAUGCGGUGAUCAACUCAUGCAUGGCUUUGGAAACUGGAGGACUGGAGAGCAGGAGAGGGAGGUGGAACUCCAUGUGUAGCGGUAAAAUGCGUAGAUAUAUGGAAGAACACCAGUGGCGAAGGCGGCCGCCUGGCCUGUUGCUGACGCUGAGGCACGAAAGCGUGGGGAGCAAAUAGGAUUAGAUACCCGGGUAGUC
rnacentral:rRNA from 1 species